rnacentral:RNase_P_RNA from 1 species
UUCAAUAAGUAGAUGAUCGCUUUAACUUUUUGGUUAGAGAGGAAAGUCCGAACACCAGUCGUUGUUUCACAAUGGCUAGUGAUAGUUGUUAACAGCAACGCCUGUCGUUUUUAUCGGCGGGACGGAAAGUGCCACAGAAACUAUACCGCUCCAUUGCUUUGCAGUGGUGUAAGGGUGAAAAGAGCGGAGGUAAGAGCUCCCAACUUUAAUUGGUAACAAUUAAGGACGGAAAACUCCUAUCCGGUGCAAGGCCAAACCAUCCGCCUCGGGCGGGUGACGAAAAGUAGGCCGCUUGACCCCGAGAGCAAUCGAGGGGCUAGAUAGAUGAUCAUCAUCCCGACUUUGCGUUGGGACACAGAAUUCGGCUUAUUCUUAUUGAAGAGC